UGAACCAACAAUGCACAAGCUUAAAGGAACCCAUUUAGAAAAUAAAAAACAAACCUUUACAACCCCUUCAAACUUCUGAACUCCCCAGAAGUGGGUUUACACAUUUGGAGCUCCCAUCCAACGUGUCACUAUGUUAAUUUUCAUUUCUUAAAAAUUGACCAGGCUGUUUUUGAACAGUAAACCCAGCCUGGGGCGGACCCAGUAAACGGUAGCUGUGUAAUUAUUUUAUAUUUUUAUUGCUGUAUUUCAUUGGCAUAGAAGGAUAAUAGAACAGGGUGGCAAUAAUCCUUCCCAAAAUCUAAUUCUAGGAAGUCCUUUCUCAACCCUAACCAUGAAUAUAAACCAGAGGUAUUGAAUUAAAAUUUACAGAGGUAUGGUCAUUAAAAUUUUCAUCCAGCACAGGUCUGAGUCUCAUGUUUGUGCUAUGACUCUGAUCCUUCAUAUCACAGCCCCACCCCUUACAUUACAGUCUGUCCUUUACAUCAGUGUCUUCAGUCCCCCCCAUUAUUCCAUAGUGCCCCCUUUUACAUUGUACCACCUUCACAUCAGAGCAUCCCCUUUUGCAAUACAGCCCCUUUACAUCACAGUGCCCUCUUGCAUCCAAGUCCUCCUAUUUUACAAUACAGUGACCCUUUAUAUCACAGUGCUUCUUUUACUUCAUUGUCCUCUGUCCUCCCUUCACAUCACAGCCCCCCCCUCCUCCUUACAUCACAGACCUCCACCCUUUACAACAGUGUCCUCGGCUUCCACCUCACAUCACAGUCCGCUUCCUCUUCACAUCAGUGUCUUCUGUCAACCCUUUAAAUCACAGCCCCUUCACAGGCCCCUCUUACUUGAAUCCCAGCCCCCUUCCUUGCACCCCGACCCCUGUCCCCUUCACAGGCCCCCCUUACUUGAAUCCCAGCCCCCUUCCUUGCAACCCGACGCCAGUCCCCUUCACAGGCCCCCCUUACUUGAAUCCCAGCCCCCUUCCUUGCAACCCGACGCCAGUCCCCUUCACAGGUCCCCCUUGCUUGAAUCCCAGCCCUCUUCCUUGCACCCCGACCCCAGUCCCCUUUAUAGUCCCCCUUACUUGAAUACCAGCCCCCUUCCUUGCACCCCGACCCCAGUCCCCUUUAUAGUCCCCCUUACUUGAAUACCAGCCCCCUUCCUUGCAACCCGACGCCAGUCCCCUUCAUAGGUCCCCCUUGCUUGAAUCCCAGCCCCCUUCCUUGCACCCUGACCCCAGUCCCCUUUAUAGCCACCCUUACUUGCAUCUCGGUCUCCUUCACCACCCCAGUCCCCUUACAGAUCUACCCCCAACCUUACCAGUUCUACCUUAAUCAGCAGGGAAAAAGCAGAAGGCACGGCAUGCUUGGACAGAGGGCAGGAGCUCCCCAUUCCCUUUUCGUGUUAACAGGUGAUUGGUUGCUAGGAUCAGCCC